GAUGAACGCUAGCUACAGGCUUAACACAUGCAAGUCGAGGGGAAACGACAUUGGAAGCUUGCUUCCUUUGGGCGUCAACCGGCGCACGGGUGAGUAACGCGUAUCCAACCUUCCCGCAAGUAAGGGAUAACCCGUAGAAAUGCGGCCUAAUACCUUAUGUUUUCCUUAGAGGGCAUCUGAUGAGGAACAAAGAUCCGUCGCUUGCGGAUGGGGAUGCGUCUGAUUAGUUAGUCGGCGGGGUAACGGCCCACCGAGACGACGAUCAGUAGGGGUUCUGAGAGGAAAGUCCCCCCACAUUGGAACUGAGACACGGUCCAAACUCCUACGGGAGGCAGCAGUGAGGAAUAUUGGUCAAUGGGCGAAGCCUGAACCAGCCAAGUAGCGUGCAGGACGACGGCCCUAUGGGUUGUAAACU
rnacentral:rRNA from 1 species